rnacentral:rRNA from 1 species
UCCAAUUUUCUGCCACCGAAUACAUUAGCAUGGGAUAAUGGAAUAGGACCCUGUCCUCCUAUUUUCAGUUGGUUUUGGCAGCGCGAGGACCAGGGUAAUGAUUAAUAGGGAUAGUUGGGGGCAUUAAUAUUUAAUUGUCAGAGGUGAAAUUCUUGGAUUUAUGAAAGAUUAACUUCUGCGAAAGCAUCUGCCAAGGAUGUUUUCAUUAAUCAAGAACGAAAGUUAGGGGAUCGAAGACGAUCAGAUACCGUCGUAGUCUUAACCAUAAACGAUGCCGACCAGCGAUUAGGAGACGUUGAAUACAAAACACCACCAUCGGUGCGGUCGUCCUUGGCGUCUCGGUCCUUCACGGGGCCGGGGCGCGGGGGCGGCUUAGCCCGGUGGCACCGGUGAAUGACUCCCCUAGCAGCUUGUG